GACCGUGUAGCUCAGUUGGCAGAGCAUUGGGCUAGUAUUCCAAAGGUCGUAGGUUCGAUUCCCGUCGUGGCCG